AGGCUCUGGAUCAGGACCGCUCAGCCCUGCAGAAGGUGAAGAAGUCUGUGAAAUCCAUCUACAACUCAGGACAAGAGCAUGCUGGGAACCAGGAGAGCUUCAGCCAGGCUCUUGAGAGACUGGGAGGAAACUUUGAACUGGGAGCCGCCUUCGUUAAGUUCUCCUGCCUCGUUAAAGAACUGGCUGCUCUGCUGAAGAACCUGCUGCAGAGUCUGAGCCAUAACGUGGUCUUCACUCUGGACUCGCUGUUAAAGGGAGAUCUGAAGGGAGUUAAAGGGGAUCUGAAGAAACCCUUUGAUAAAGCCUGGAAGGACUACGAGACCAAGCUGUGAGUGUUUUUGAAAAGAGAGAACCAGGUCCUUCUGUUCCACUUAGAGACCUGCAGCCUCUCCUCUGCUGGAACUUAU